UUGUGGCAUUGUUUCAAUGGUUUCAAUCAAUUCAAUGGACUUCAGAGGCGAAUGAACUCUAUGAGUUUAAAGCCUCUAUAAUUCAACAACGAACGAACGUAUUCAAUGGAGAAUAAGAAAACAUUUAUAAAAAAUGGUGAAAACUGAGAGUUGUGCAUUAUGUUUUGCAAAUAAAUCGAAAGGGUUUCUGGAUAUAUUCUGUGUGGAAAAUCAAUCAAUGAAUAUUUACUCAAUUAUUUCUAAACAUUUGUGGUUUGACUUGAAGCCUUCCGACCAGUGUUAUGUAUGUGCCGAAUGCUGGAAAAAUGUUUACGAUUUCCAUUUGUUUUAUUGUAAAUUAGAAAAAAUACAUUUGGUUAAAAAUGAAUCCAAUUCUAAGUCUAUUCAACAAAUUGAACAACCGGGUGGAGAACCAUUAUUCGACGAUGGUCCUGAUUACAACGACGAUGAUGAUGAUAAUAAUGACACCGAUGUGAAAUAUGCUACCGUAAAGAAAACAGAAAUGGCCAAAACCGGCAAACGUCUAGGAAGACCACCGAGAAACACAACCACCAAAAAAGAUUCGGAAACAAAAAUCAAUGCAUCUGAAUAUAGCCAAUGUUCGAAGGAUGGCGAGGAAAAACAUGAAACGAAAAAAAGGAGAAGAUUUAAGAAGGAAUCUAGUGAUGAAAGUUCAGAAUCAGAUACAGUCUCCAACUGUGGUGACCAGAGAAAAAGUUCUGGAAAACGUACAAGGGAUGAGAGAUUGUUCUCAUAUAUUUCGGAAUUUAUUUGCCAUAUUUGCCCGGAACGAGUGGAGUUCGAACGGUUUCAUCAUGCAAACCAGCACUAUCAUGAAGUUCACCAAGAACCGGCGUAUUUGAAAUGCACGAAAUGUGAUCGAAAAUGUUUCUCUUCGGGGGGAUUUAUCAAUCAUAUGGAGACUCAUGAUGACCCGGAAAAGAAUAAGUGUCCCAUUUGUGGCAAAGUCACAGACCAGAGAAUAACACUCAAAAAGCACAUGAGAGCACAUAGUCUCCAGAUGGAGGAAACAUUACCUUUUUCCUGCAGCCAAUGUCCGCGUCGGUUUGGUUUGGAAAAGGCCAGAGAUAAGCACGAACGGCUACACGAAAGAAAGUUUGUAGUGAAACGAGAGAAAGGGCGCGAUGAAGUGCUGAUAACUUUUUACAAGAAAAUUUCGUGCGACAUUUGUGAUGAGGAGAAAAACGAUCACAUUACAUACGACAACUUUUGGGAUCUCAAAAAUCAUAUGAACUCCGAGCACAAUAAGACACCCUAUCUGAAGUGCCCAAUUUGCUUCAAGAAAAAUAUCUGUCGGCAACAGCUGAUAGUUCAUAUCGACGUGCACGAGAAUCCGGACAAAUACAGAUGUGAUAUUUGCGGAGAAGUGUAUCAAUUCCUGGAGAAACACAAGUUCAAAGAUCACGAACGCGAAGCAGAAACAGUCCUUAAAAGCUAUAGUUGCGAGCACUGUGGUAAAAUGUUCCGGUGCGAAGGCAACCUCAAGUAUCAUAUCGAUUGCGUGCAUGGUGUUAAGGAUGUUGUGUGCGAUGUAUGUAAAAAAUCAUUUAGUAAAAAGGCAAUCAGCGCCCACAAGCGAUUAGUUCAUAGUGAUAAGAUGUUUAUGUGCGAACAGUGUCCAAAGAUGUUCAAAAAUCGCAACGGUCUGGAAUUGCACAAGAGUGAACAUGAUAUUGAGCUGCGAAAGCCAGUGAAAUGCGAGCUAUGUGGCAAAGAGAUGCGUCGGGGUUCAAGCUUGGCGAAGCACAUGAAGAUAAAUCUGUACGUGUGGUAACACUGCUUGUAGCAUCGAUAGCUGAAACAAACACGAAGGACGAGUAAAUUCGACUGUGGCCUGAGGAUAAGUUACUAGAUUACGAUAGCAAACCUGUUUCCAUGACCACUGAAGUGUUAACUGACGAAGCAAUAGUCAACUCUGUUCUAAACAGAGAAGAUGAUUUAACUUCUGUGGAGUAGAAACGGUUGGAAACCAUCACGAACGGAAGUGUAUGUGUAAGCGAAAACAAGGAGCCUGAAUAGAUUUCUCAACUGCGAUGAAGUUACUUAAUAGCGUGAUCACGCUAUUAAGUCCAUUGUGUAAACGGAUUAAAGUUCAGGAUUCACCGGAGAAAACGCAAUCCAAUACAAACGUUGAAACAGAAAAUCCUACGGUCUGAAAUGCUAGAAGCACAUUGGAAGAAACGUAAUUCCUAACGUAGUUCAAUUAUUAUAUUUCAUUGCAUUUGAU